rnacentral:misc_RNA from 1 species
UCAACUUGAACUCCUGAGGCCAUGU